rnacentral:rRNA from 1 species
AGCGAACGCUGGCGGCAGGCUUAACACAUGCAAGUCGAACGCAUCCUUCGGGGUGAGUGGCAGACGGGUGAGUAACACGUGGGAACGUACCCUUCGAUCUGGGAUAACUUCGGGAAACUGGAGCUAAUACCGGAUACGCCCUUUUGGGGAAAGGCUUACUGUCGAAGGAUCGGCCCGCGUCUGAUUAGCUAGUUGGUGGGGUAACGGCCUACCAAGGCGACGAUCAGUAGCUGGUCUGAGAGGAUGAUCAGCCACACUGGGACUGAGACACGGCCCAGACUCCUACGGGAGGCAGCAGUGGGGAAUAUUGGACAAUGGGCGCAAGCCUGAUCCAGCCAUGCCGCGUGAGUGAUGAAGGCCUUAGGGUUGUAAAGCUCUUUUGUCCGGGACGAUAAUGACGGUACCGGAAGAAUAAGCCCCGGCUAACUUCGUG